UGGUACAUCAUUACUGAUAAAAUUGUUUCGGCUGCCAUUACAGAAAAUAAAAAUCAGACUUUGCCAAUUAAGUCCAAGAGAUCCAGAAACAACUUUCACCUACUAUAGACAACUUGUUCACUUGGGUUGUAGGUCAGGAAGGAAGAUUCAGAAUACAAAACUUUCAGCUCCGAUGUUGAACGUAGAUCAAACAUGCCUUCAGCAAGAGGAAGCAUGAAGCUUAAUGUGCAAACCAAUCAAAGCUAGAGGAGCCAACAAAGACUUUAGAUACAGUGAUCUAAAAAGUCUUAUAUUAGUUUAUAGAGGGAGUACAUAGCAAACAACCUAUCACCAGGAAGGAAGAAGAAAGCAGAAUGCAUCUACAAUACAUCCAGUUUCAGUGCAUCCUCGCCAUGUCCUGUUUUCUGCAAGGUUCAAAUGCAAAAACAUGCAAGAGCGUGGAAAACCGUUAAGCACGGUUACUGAUUCCGGUUUAAACUCAUGUAUUUUGGUUCUUGGACGUUGCUCUAAUAAUUCAAACAAUAACAUUUUGAAGAACAAAAUAUCCAAUAAACCGACUCGCUGAGAAAUUAGAGCUUAAUGGUUUCUUGCUGUACAUUGGUGCACCGAAGGGGGUCAGUUUGUAGUAAUUGAGUAUCAUCAAUGUUUCCUCAUACCAAAUGAUUUCGACAAUUAAAUCUGAAGUGAUGGGUAUCAGUAUCUACAAACGACAGGCUCUUGGCCUGAGUCAAGUUUGAUCUUGAAGCAGCUAUCUAAAAACUAGAUUGGUAUUUUUUUGUAUUUAAAUGUACAAAAAGGAAAAGAAAAAGAAAAGGAUACGUAUGCAUCAGCUCCAUCCAGGAUACAUGUACCAUUCCGGUGGAACUAAUGGAGUAUCAUAUCUACAAACUACAACCACACUCGACACGAAUCAGGCGAUCAACAAGGAAAAUUCAUAUUCAAGUUACUAGCAGCUUCGACACCAGCAGCUGACUCUAUGUGUAAACUAAAAUCUGAGGGUACUUUUAGUAAAGAGCAUGGGUAAAAGUGACAUGCCACUUGUUAGUAAUGAUACCAAGAAGCAACAGGGCCACACUCUAAUACAAUCCUGAUAAAGAAAGCAAAGUAAUUCAAGCAUGGACAUCACCCAUCUAUGCUACACUCUGAAAUAGAGCGAAACACAAGAGGCCUCUCCUAGCAAUCACAACAAUUGCAACUUACAAGGGGAACGGGUUUAUCAUUUCACUGGGCAGGACAAGUCAAUGUACAGUUGGCCUCCAAUAUCAUGAUAGGUCAAACAAACUUGAUGAAACAUAUAAACACUCAAGUGUAUGAUGCAUUACUGCAUGGACCACCACAAAAUAUCCAUUUAUCAUUCCCAACAAGGCAACAAAAUCUUGAUGAAACCUAAGAAGAAAAAUCACUGUAAAAACCUCAACAGGUUUGUGUCUUGCUGAAAAUAACAAAUAGUUCAACAGUUGAAUAAUAAUGCACCUUUAACGUCCAUCUCCAACAAAAGUAAUUCUUACACCCAGGAGCCUUUCCAUAACCCUGCAUCGACAAGUAAAAUAAGCAGAGCACUAACAACAGGGCAAAAUGACAUGUACUUCCUCCGUUCUAAAAUAGAUGACUCAACUUUGUACUUGUACUAAAGUUAGUACAAAGUUGAGUCAUCUAUUUUGGAACGGAGGGAGUAGCAAACACCUAAUCUGGAGAUAAGUGGACAUAUGAAAGGUUUAAGUACAGACAGCAUGUAAUGCUUACUUUGUUACAAAAAAAAAAACAGAUCAUGAUAACUACAACUUAUCUGCUUGACAACUAGAAGUUAAACUAAUUCUAGCAUGCUUUGGCAGUUACUUUGGAAGUUAAAGAAAGUACUGAAAUUCUUUGUCUUUUCAGAUCAAACAUAGUUCAAAACCUUAAUUUUCCCUUGCGAAAAUCAUACAGACACAGGUAUCAAAUUUUACUAUCCAUCACUGAACUUCAAUGAUAUCUUUAUCCAGAUGAACACCCAAGAUGGCAGAAAUUAAUUCAAGUACAGAUUAUGUUGCCAGUUGGAAGUAAUGUGCCCCCAAAAGCUAGCAGAUUAUGUGCAGCUUUUCGUACAAAAAAGAAUAGUAGGGGCAAGUAACUAAGAACCUGCAGUCUCUGCACAAAUUCAGACCAUGUAUUCAGAGUAUGGAUGUACAUGAUACCAACUGUUUGGUGCGUAUAUUCACAAUCACACCAACCAAAGCAAUAAAUUAAUCACUCAGUUUU
rnacentral:lncRNA from 1 species